AGAGUUUGAUCCCAGCUCAGGAUGAACGCUAGCGGUGCGCCUAACACAUGUAGGUCGUGCGAUCGAGCCGAACUGAGUCCCUUCGGGGAUGAUGAUUGGUGACGGAGCGGCGGACGGGUGAGUAACGCGUGGCUAACCUACCCUCUUGACGGGGACAACCACCCGAAAGGGCGGCUAAUACCCGAUAUUGUCUGGAACCGAUGGGUUCCUUUCCAAAGGCGGUCCUGCCGCCGCAAGGGGAUGGGGCUGCGUCCUAUUAGCUAGUUGGUGAGGUAACGGCCCACCAAGGCUUCGAUGGGUAGCUGGUCUGAGAGGACGACCAGCCACAUUGGGACUGAGAUACGGCCCAGACUCCUACGGGAGGCAGCAGUGGGGAAUCUUGGCCAAUGGACGAAAGUCUGAGCCAGCGACACCGCGUGGGGGAUGAAGGCCUUCGGGUUGUAAACCUCUUUUCUGGGGAAAGAAUAAGGACGGGAGGAAAUGCCCGCCCGAUGACGGUACUCCAGGAAUAAGCAUCGGCUAACUCUGUGCCAGCAGCCGCGGUAAGACAGAGGAUGCAAGCGUUAUCCGGAAUUACUGGGCGUAAAGGGCGUCCAGGCGGUUCGGUAAGUCGUUUGUGAAAUCCCUCGGCUCAACCGAGGAAGGUCUUGCGAUACUGCCGGGCUUGGGUGCAGGAGAGGAGGGUGGAACUCACAGAGUAGCGGUGGAAUGCGUAGAUACUGUGAGUACCCCGAUGGCGAAGGCAACCCUCUGGCCUGCUACCGACGCUGAAGCGCGAAAGCGUGGGGAGCAAAGGGGAUUAGAUACCCCCGUAGUCCACGCCCUAAACAAUGUUCACUUGGUGUCGGCCGCUCAUACUGGUCGGUGCCGAAGCUAACGCGUUAAGUGAACCGCCUGAGGAGUACGGCCGCAAGGCUAAAACUCAAGAGAAUUGACGGGUCCCUGCACAAGCGGUGGAGCACGUGGUUUAAUUCGAUGAUAAACGAAAAACCUCACCCAGGCUUGACAUACUAGUGGUAGGAACCUGAAAGGGGGACGACUCUGCCUUCGGGUAGAGAGCUAGUACAGGUGAUGCAUGGCUGUCGUCAGCUCGUGUCGUGGGAUGUUGGGUUCAGUCCCGAAACGAGCGCAACCCUUGUCGUUAGUUGCCAGCGGGUAAUGCCGGGGACUCUAACGAGACUGCUGGUGAAUAGCCGGAGGAAGGCGGGGAUGACGUCAAGUCAUCAUGUCCCUUAUGCCUGGGGCGACACACAUGCUACAAUGGGGGGUACAGAGGGUCGCAAUCCCGUAAGGGGGAGCCAAUCCAUAAAAACCCCUCCCAGCUCGGAUUGAGGUCUGCAACUCGACCUCAUGAAGUCGGAAUCGCUAGUAAUCGCGGGUCAGCCAUACCGCGGUGAAUAUGUACUCAGGGAUUGUACACACCGCCCGUCACACCAACCGAGUGGGGGGUACCUGAAGUCGCUCUUCUGAGGGCGCCUAGGGUAACUUCCGCAAGAGGGGUGAAGUCGUAACAAGGUA
rnacentral:rRNA from 1 species